CUGUAGCUGUAGCUCAGUGGGAGAGCAGUUACCUCACACGCAUGAGGCCCUAGGUUCAUUUCCUAGUUUUGGAGA
rnacentral:tRNA from 1 species